rnacentral:rRNA from 1 species
CAGUGGGGAAUAUUGCACAAUGGGGCGCAAGCCUGAUGCAGCCAUGCCGCGUGUAUGAAGAAGGCCUUCGGGUGUAAAGUACUUUCAGCAGUGAGGAAGGUGGGUAUGUUAAUAGCAUACUCAUUUGACGUUAGCUGCAGAAGAAGCACCGGCUAACUCCGUGCCAGCAGCCGCGGUAAUACGGAGGGUGCGAGCGUUAAUCGGAAUUACUGGGCGUAAAGCGCAUGCAGGUGGUUUGUUAAGUCAGAUGUGAAAGCCCGGGGCUCAACCUCGGAAUUGCAUUUGAAACUGGCAAACUAGAGUACUGUAGAGGGGGUAGGAAUUUCAGGUGUAGCGGUGAAAUGCGUAGAGAUCUGAAGGAAUACCGGUGGCGAAGGCGGCCCCCUCGGACAGAUACUGACACUCAGAUGCGAAAGCGUGGGGAGCAAACAGGAUUAGAUACCCUGGUAG